rnacentral:rRNA from 1 species
UAGUAAUCUAGUAAUCGUGGAUCAGAAUGCCACGGUGAAUACGUUCCCGGGCCUUGUACACACCGCCCGUCACACCAUGGGAGUGGGUUGCAAAAGAAGUAGGUAGCUUAACCUUCGGGAGGGCGCUUACCACUUUGUGAUUCAUGACUGGGGUGAAGUCGUAACAAGGUAACCGUAGGGGAACCUGCGGUUGGAUCACCUCCUUA